rnacentral:lncRNA from 1 species
UUUAUGCUCUUGCAUCAUCUCUAGAUAAAUACUUUUCUGUCUCAUACUAAACUUUAUUAUUUAUAUCAACCAAUUUUAUUUUUCUUCUAGUGCCUAUGUUGAAAAAUACCUACUGGAGAAGUCCAGACUCGUUUACCAAGAGCAUAAUGAACGAUAUAACACGGAAAAGUCCCAGAACACCUCUUUCUGAUCUCCAGGGCAUGAAUGCUCUGAAUGAACAAAACCAGCAGUGAGUGUGUUUUCUUUAUGUUGACAGGAAUGUAAAAGAAGUGCCUCACUUUCCUAUUACUUGUGUGCCUUUAAAAGUUUGAAGAAAGUCAGGCUUGGUUUGUUUUCCAUUUCUUAAAGCUUCUCUAAAUGAUAUAGCAACAAGUGAAUAGGUUAGAAUUAGCAAAACGUGUCUAGGGUUGCUUUGGAUAAAAUGACUAUAGAACGUAGGCGCUUCAUCUGGCUUACAUUCUGAGAUCUUGGAUUUUACAUGUUUUGCAAAAUUUAAGGUUUAUUCUGCUCUUCUUUGGAACAAUCAUAUUGAUAAGUAAUAAUUGAAUAAUUUGACUACAUAAAAGUUCAAUUUACAUAAUACCUUUUUCUUGGUGAGUGUCAUUACCAAAGCUUUUAAAAUUUUGUAGUAUAAAGCUGAUCUUCUGUAUAUUAAGAUAAUCGAAAAUGAAUCUUGAUGUGAAUGGAAGGGGAGAGGGAGUGGGAAAGGGGAGGGUUGUGGGUGGGAGGGACGGUAUGGGGGGGAAGCCAUUGUAACCCAUGAGUCGUACUUUGGAAAUUUAUAUUCAUUAAAUAAAAGAUAAAAAAAAAAAUUUUGUAGUAUAGUU